rnacentral:sRNA from 19 species
UCUAAAGUUAUGUCCUGACUAUAUAGAUAUACUAUCAGUGAAGUAUAAGUUGGACUACAUGCCAGUUUACUAGUACAUCAUUAAUUUGAUUUUAAGUCAUGAAAUACAGAAGCAACAUUCGUGAAGCUUCAGUGGCAAGAGUUAAUCUUUUGUGAUGGUAUUCUGGCUAUAAGUU